UGGCGAACGGGUGAGUAAUACAUCGGAACGUGUCCGCUCGUGGGGGACAACCAGCCGAAAGGUUGGCUAAUACCGCAUGAGUUCUACGGAAGAAAGAGGGGGACCCGCAAGGGCCUCUCGCGAGCGGAGCGGCCGAUGACUGAUUAGCCGGUUGGUGAGGUAACGGCUCACCAAAGCAACGAUCAGUAGCUGGUCUGAGAGGACGACCAGCCACACUGGGACUGAGACACGGCCCAGACUCCUACGGAAGGCAGCAG
rnacentral:rRNA from 1 species